GUGUACUGGGCAUGGUUGAGAAAGUCCCUCUGUGCUAGGAGUCUGUAGUCAGGGGUGUUUGUGUGUGCGUUAAUGAGUAACCGACUUCGAGUAUCACAAACACCGCUACUGUUCAGAAGAGCGACUCCGAAGUGAUCCCAGUGUACUGGGCAUGGUUGAGAAAUUCCCUCUGUACGAGGAGUCUGUAGUCAGGUGUGUUUGUGUGUGCGUUAAUGAGUAACCGACUUCGAGUAUCACAAACACCGCUACUGUUCAGAAGAGCAACUUCGAGGUGAUCCCAGUGUACUGGGCAUGGUUGAGAAAUUCCCUCUGUACGAGGAGUCUGUAGUCAGGGGUGUUUGUGUGUGCGUUAAUGAGUAACCGACUUCGAGUAUCACAAACACCGCUACUGUUCAGAAGAGCGACUCCGAAGUGAUCCCAGUGUACUGGGCAUGGUUGAGAAAUAUCGUUAAGGUGUCAAGUUUGGUGAACCGGCGAU